rnacentral:rRNA from 1 species
UGCAAGUCGAACGAUGAACCACCUUCGGGUGGGGAUUAGUGGCGAACGGGUGAGUAACACGUGGGCAAUCUGCCCUUCACUCUGGGACAAGCCCUGGAAACGGGGUCUAAUACCGGAUACUGACCUGCCAAGGCAUCUUGGCGGGUCGAAAGCUCCGGCGGUGAAGGAUGAGCCCGCGGCCUAUCAGCUUGUUGGUGAGGUAAUGGCUCACCAAGGCGACGACGGGUAGCCGGCCUGAGAGGGCGACCGGCCACACUGGGACUGAGACACGGCCCAGACUCCUACGGGAGGCAGCAGUGGGGAAUAUUGCACAAUGGGCGAAAGCCUGAUGCAGCGACGCCGCGUGAGGGAUGACGGCCUUCGGGUUGUAAACCUCUUUCAGCAGGGAAGAAGCGAAAGUGACGGUACCUGCAGAAGAAGCGCCGGCUAACUACGUGCCAGCAGCCGCGGUAAUACGUAGGGCGCAAGCGUUGUCCGGAAUUAUUGGGCGUAAAGAGCUCGUAGGCGGCUUGUCACGUCGGUUGUGAAAGCCCGGGGCUUAACCCCGGGUCUGCAGUCGAUACGGGCAGGCUAGAGUUCGGUAGGGGAGAUCGGAAUUCCUGGUGUAGCGGUGAAAUGCG